GUGAACGCUGGCGGUAGGCCUAACACAUGCAAGUCGAACGGCAGCACAGUAAGAGCUUGCUCUUACGGGUGGCGAGUGGCGGACGGGUGAGGAAUACAUCGGAAUCUACUUUUUCGUGGGGGAUAACGUAGGGAAACUUACGCUAAUACCGCAUACGACCUACGGGUGAAAGCAGGGGAUCUUCGGACCUUGCGCGAUUGAAUGAGCCGAUGUCGGAUUAGCUAGUUGGCGGGGUAAAGGCCCACCAAGGCGACGAUCCGUAGCUGGUCUGAGAGGAUGGUCAGCCACACUGGAACUGAGACACGGUCCAGACUCCUACGGGAGGCAGCAGUGGGGAAUAUUGGACAAUGGGCGCAAGCCUGAUCCAGCCAUACCGCGUGGGUGAAGAAGGCCUUCGGGUUGUAAAGCCCUUUUGUUGGGAAAGAAAAGCAGCAGGUUAAUACCCCGCUGUUCUGACGGUACCCAAAGAAUAAGCACCGGCUAACUUCGUG
rnacentral:rRNA from 1 species